rnacentral:lncRNA from 1 species
CAGCGGAAGAUGGGCACGAACUUCUCCAGGCAUGGCAGAGGGAAUGCAUAGCCGCAGGAGCAGGAAGCUGAGAGCUGAGGAGAGAGAAUAAACUAGGACUCAGAGCCCACUACUUCCUUCAACAAGACCACCCCCCUAAGCCUCCCAAACAGCACUUUCAACCAGCAACCAAGUGCUCCAAUGCUCUAAACCGGAAAUCCUCAACCUCCCUAACCCUUUAAUACAGUUCCUAAUGUUGUGGUGACCCCCAAACAUAAAAUCAAUAAAAUCAUUUUUGCUGCU